GGCGGCGUGCUUAACACAUGCAAGUCGAACGAUGAAGCCUUCGGGGGUGGAUUAGUGGCGAACGGGUGAGCAACACGUGGGCAAUCUGCCUUCACUCUGGGACAAGCCCUGGAAACGGGGUCUAAUACCGGAUAUUACCGCUGACCGCAUGGUCUGGUGGUGGAAAGCUCCGGCGGUGAAGGAUGAGCCCGCGGCCUAUCAGCUUGUUGGUGAGGUAGUGGCUCACCAAGGCGACGACGGGUAGCCGGCCUGAGAGGGCGACCGGCCACACUGGGACUGAGACACGGCCCAGACUCCUACGGGAGGCAGCAGUGGGGAAUAUUGCACAAUGGCGAAAGCCUGAUGCAGCGACGCCGCGUGAGGGAUGACGGCUUCGGGUUGUAAACCUCUUUCAGCAGGGAAGAAGCGAAAGUGACGGUACCUGCAGAAGAAGCGCCGGCUAACUACGUGCCAGCAGCCGCGGUAAUACGUAGGGCGCAAGCGUUGUCCGGAAUUAUUGGGCGUAAAGAGCUCGUAGGCGGCUUGUCACGUCGAUUGUGAAAGCCCGAGGCUUAACCUCGGGUCUGCAGUCGAUACGGGCUAGCUAGAGUGUGGUAGGGGAGAUCGGAAUUCCUGGUGUAGCGGUGAAAUGCGCAGAUAUCAGGAGGAACACCGGUGGCGAAGGCGGAUCUCUGGGCCAUUACUGACGCUGAGGAGCGAAAGCGUGGGGAGCGAACAGGAUUAGAUACCCUGGUAGUCCACGCCGUAAACGGUGGGAACUAGGUGUUGGCGACAUUCCACGUCGUCGGUACCGCAGCUAACGCAUUAAGUUCCCCGCCUGGGGAGUACGGCCGC
rnacentral:rRNA from 1 species